rnacentral:ncRNA from 1 species
AGGAGCUGUAUGAGGUGGAAAUCUCAUGUACUGUUCUGUAGAGUGGCAUUAGGGGUGACUUAUUUGUCAAUUCUAAC